GCCCAGGGGGCUGGAUCUGGUUUUCGACCACAGGAGGAAAGUGAAGUGAAGUACAACCAAUGCUGUCAACAGUGAGACUGUCAAAGAAAAGAAGUGACCCAGAACAGAAAAUAAAUGACCCGUGCUGUGAUUAGCAACUCACUGUGUUUGUUUAGUGUCAAGAAUGCUGCUAGGAUUUAAUAAAAAUUUACAAUCAUAGAUCACCUCCCAAAACAAAAGCAAAUAAACAAAGCACACAUCUUUAAGGUGAGGACUCAGCUGGAACCGGGAAACAAGCCUUCACCAGAACCUGCCCAUGAUGG